rnacentral:rRNA from 1 species
UACGGAGGAUCCAAGCGUUAUCCGGAUUUAUUGGGUUUAAAGGGUGCGUAGGCGGCCUAUUAAGUCAGGGGUGAAAGACGGUAGCUUAACUAUCGCAGUGCCUUUGAUACUGAUGGGCUUGAAUGUACUUGAGGUAGGCGGAAUGUGUCAAGUAGCGGUGAAAUGCAUAGAUAUGUCACAGAACACCAAUUGCGAAGGCAGCUUACUAAAGUAUGAUUGACGCUGAGGCACGAAAGCGUGGGGAUCAAACAGG